rnacentral:sRNA from 1 species
AACAAACAAAAAACCAACCUGGCUAUUCCUAGGAAUGAUAAAAUAUCUUCCUUUGUAGAAGGAACAGUUAGAGAAUGGAUCAGAAUCUUUCUAUCUAGGGUAAUAGCUUUUUAGGUUGGGGUAAUUGUUCGUCCCAAAUAGAUGACCAAAGGACUGGACUUUAGAAGGUGAGACCCUGUAACCUUUACUGAAAAUGAAAUUCAGAAGAGCAGAGGUGUCAGUUUGGCAAAUUUUUUGAGAGGGGUUACACAGAAGAAUGCAAUCUAUAUAGUGGACAGUCCUAGAUUUAGGGAGAGAAAGAGAGAAGGUAAUUCAGAAACCAGGGCCUGGCCAAAUUGGUGUGGGCUGUGCUGGAAUCUCUGAGGUAGAACAGUCCAGGUAAGUUGUGUAGAAAAGUGGGUGUCAGGAUCUGUUCAGGAAAAGGCAAAUAUGUUCUGUGACUGGGUAUCUAGAGGGAUAGAGAAAGUAGCAUCCGGAGAUCUAAGAUUGAGAAAUGAGAAUUCCCCAAGGGGAUAGUGGGAAGAAGUGUAUAAGGAUUAGCCACAACAGGAUGUACAGGAACUAUGGCAGAAUUAAUGGACCUGAGGUUUUGAACCAGGAGAUAGGUUCCACUAAGUUUCCUAACUGCUAAUGUAGGGGUUUUAAAGGGGGAAGAGGUAGGGCAAAGGAGGUUUUUCCUUAAGAGAUCAGAGGUGAUAUACUUAAGGCCCCUGAGGCUCUGGAGUGAAAGCAGGUAUUGAGGUUGGGUGAUGUACCUGGUAGAAUUCAGUAAUUGCUUGACAACAGGAGAAUGUUUAGCAGCAGAGGGGUUCUGGACAUCCCUGACAAGGAGGUCUACUUGAGAAGCUGGCCAGAAGUCAACUUGCAUUAGAAAAUGUGCUAUUACCAAGAAGCAUGUCACCAAGACAACCGAAUAGAACUGUCCAGAGUAUGUCCUUCUGCAGAAAUAUCAAUUGAGACAACUAUCCAGGCAUGAAAUACCUUCAUAAGAACUAAACAAAACAGGGAAAGCUCCUUAAACCAGAAGAGAGUUGUGGCAAAAAAAGACACACUCAACCAAGAGUUGCGAUGAAAGCAAUGUGUCACAUGAAUUGCCAAUACUUACACUAGUUAAAAGAAGAAAGAAACAAAAGAAAAUAGAGCAUCAUUAUAUAAAAGAGUCAACUUAUCAAGCAGAACCAUCCCUUUAUUCUUCUUCUUUCCCCUACAAUGAAGUGAUUCUUUACAACAUCCUGUGCUCCUUUUAAAGCCCAUUGGUUCCUUGUGGUGCUGUCAGAAUGUACAUGAGGAACGUCUACUGAAGAAAGGAAAGCCUCUCAGAAGCCAAAUACCUGAAGAAAACUCACUCUGCCUCUCAUAAGAAUCCAUCAGUGGCCAAUAUCACCUCAGUGUUUCCACAGGACGUAUCCCAGAUGAUUGAGUCGGGGGAAAGUCUACAAAAGUUUGGAUGUUGAUUAUUUCCUAAUAUCCCAGAAAUGAGAGGAAAGCCUAAACAUGAUCUAGGAUUAAGGAUACCAGCUUUUGCAGAAGAACUAAAACAACUACCCAUGUCUAAACAAGCAACUACUAGACUCUUGGGCUUCCCAUUCACAACUGCCCAUUGUUGGGUUAGCUGGACUACUGACUAGUCACCAGCCAACAAACAGGCAUUAAAUUCACCAUCCUAAGGAAAUUAUUCAUACUCAAAACAUAACAGCCAAAAGUCAUGCACUUGAAGACUUCUGUCUCUACUCCUCUAUUCUACGGAUAAAGUGAAACCAUAACUUUCAGGAAAAGAAAACAUGAGAAUGUAGAUUACAAAAGUCGGAACUGACAAAAUACAUAAAGACCAUGGGAUGGAAUUUACAUUUUGAGGAUGGCAGAGUAAUGAAUCAGAAAGAGCCUUUGACACCAACGACUCACAGGAAGUCCCAACAUGUCUCCUUAAUAUCUUCAUAGUGGUCAUAUCAUUUGAAUAUGAAGAAGAAAAAGAGCAGGUGGAGCCUGACAAGAUCUUCCUGGCUGUUGACCUGCGCAGCUGGAGAAAUCACUAUUGCAGCACAGCUGGACCUGUGGGUUGUGAGAGCUGUGGCUUCGACUUUUACAGAAAAGAUUCUGCUGAAGAGAAUGAGAAGGAAGAGCAUACAUGGCCAAGAACCUGCAGGGUAUAAAAGACCCCAGCACCCAGAUGGAAAGGUGGAGCCCACCCUCUCCCAAAAUACUUCAUUUCUCCAAAAAACCGGAGCAUGUUGUACUCUGAGAGGCUCUACCCAGCAGCUGACUCAGACAGAUGCAGACACCCACAUCCAAACAGUGGAUGCAGCUUGUGGACUCUUAUGAAAGAAUAAUUGGAGGGAUUGUGAGACUGAAGAGGAUGGGACUCCACAGAAACACCAACAGAGUCAACUCACCUGGACCCUUGGGGCUCUGUGUCUGAACCACCAGCCAAAGAACAUACACUGCCUGGACCUAGGCCUCCUUGCACAUAGGUAGCAAAUGUGCUGCUUGGUCUUCAUGUGGAUCCUAAACAAGUGGAGCAGGGCCUAUCCCCAAAGCUGUUGCCCAUAUAUGGGAUAAGUCCUUUAGCUGGGCUACCUUGUCUGGCCUCAGUGGAAGAGGAAGUGUUUAGCCUAGCAGAGAUUUGAAAUGCCAAGGUUGGGGGAUACUGAGGGGCCACACCCUCUCAGAGGAGAAGGCAAGGGGAAAUUGGGGAAGGAUUAUGGGAAGGAGUGUCCUGUAGAAGAACAAUGAGCAGGAUGUAAAGUGA